UUUGAAAGGGACAGUCAUGGUUACACACAUAGUUGACAGAUUUUAAUUAAGUUAUUUCAAGUUAUCUAGAACCGGAUGUUAAACAAAGUUUCCAUGUUUGCCACAUAACCGCGGGCAUAGCUUUCCGAAAGAUUUAACCCUGCAGGGGUGCUCCAACUAAUCCAUUAAAAAUUACCACAAGCUACAUAGAAAGCCUCGAUCACGAAACUCGUUAUCUCCUCGGAUUCCUUAGUGGAAAACCUCAACUCUCAAAAAAC
rnacentral:lncRNA from 1 species